UUUUAGCCCCGAUAGCAGUGGAAAUCCUUUUAUUUUUUUCUUUAAAAAAUAAAAGAUUGCAACGUAUAGCGGGAUUAACU
rnacentral:sRNA from 1 species